GAUGAACGCUAGCGGCAGGCCUAACACAUGCAAGUCGAGGGGCAGCACAGAAACAGCAAUGUUUUGGUGGCGACCGGCGGACGGGUGCGUAACGCGUAUGCAACCUACCUUUAACAGGGGGGAUAACGGAGAGAAAUUUCCACUAAUACCCCAUAACAUCGAUCAAGGCAUCUUGAUUGGUUGAAAACUCCGGUGGUUAAAGAUGGGCAUGCGUUGUAUUAGGUAGUUGGUGAGGUAAUGGCUCACCAAGCCUACGAUACAUAGGGGGACUGGGAGGUUAGCCCCCCACACUGGUACUGAGACACGGACCAGACUCCUACGGGAGGCAGCAGUGAGGAAUAUUGGUCAAUGGGGGCAACCUUGAACCAGCCAUGCCGCGUGCAGGAAGACGGCUCUAUGAGUUGUAAACUGCUUUUAAACAGGGAUAAAGCACAGUAUGUAUACUGUGUUGAAGGUACUGUAAGAAUAAGGAUCGGCUAACUCCGUGCCAGCCGCCGCGGUAA
rnacentral:rRNA from 1 species